rnacentral:ncRNA from 1 species
CUUUAAUUGCGGGGGGACACGACGAGUGUUGAGAAGGUUAAAACCUGACCCUUAGAACCUGACAGUUAAUACUGGCGUAGGGAGCAAUGAGUGGCAGCAG